UGAGAGGGUGAUCGGCCACACUGGAACUGAGACACGGUCCAGACUCCUACGGGAGGCAGCAGUAGGGAAUCUUCCGCAAUGGGCGAAAGCCUGACGGAGCAACGCCGCGUGAGUGAUGAAGGUCUUCGGAUCGUAAAACUCUGUUAUUAGGGAAGAACAUAUGUGUAAGUAACUGUGCACAUCUUGACGGUACCUAAUCAGAAAGCCACGGCUAACUACGUGCCAGCAGCCGCGGUAAUACGUAGGUGGCAAGCGUUAUCCGGAAUUAUUGGGCGUAAAGCGCGCGUAGGCGGUUUUUUAAGUCUGAUGUGAAAGCCCACGGCUCAACCGUGGAGGGUCAUUGGAAACUGGAAAACUUGAGUGCAGAAGAGGAAAGUGGAAUUCCAUGUGUAGCGGUGAAAUGCGCAGAGAUAUGGAGGAACACCAGUGGCGAAGGCGACUUUCUGGUCUGUAACUGACGCUGAUGUGCGAAAGCGUGGGGAUCAAACAGGAUUAGAUACCCUGGUAGUCCACGCCGUAAACGAUGAGUGCUAAGUGUUAGGGGGUUUCCGCCCCUUAGUGCUGCAGCUAACGCAUUAAGCACUCCGCCUGGGGAGUACGACCGCAAGGUUGAAACUCAAAGGAAUUGACGGG
rnacentral:rRNA from 1 species